GACGAACGCUGGCGGCGUGCCUAACACAUGCAAGUCGAACGGAAAGGCCCUGCUUUUGUGGGGUGCUCGAGUGGCGAACGGGUGAGUAACACGUGAGUAACCUGCCCUUGACUUUGGGAUAACUUCAGGAAACUGGGGCUAAUACCGGAUAGGAGCUCCUGCUGCAUGGUGGGGGUUGGAAAGUUUCGGCGGUUGGGGAUGGACUCGCGGCUUAUCAGCUUGUUGGUGGGGUAGUGGCUUACCAAGGCUUUGACGGGUAGCCGGCCUGAGAGGGUGACCGGCGACAUUGGGACUGAGAUACGGCCCAGAAUCCUACGGGAGGCAGCAGUGGGGAAUAUUGCACAAUGGGCGGAAGCCUGAUGCAGCAACGCCGCGUGCGGGAUGACGGCCUUCGGGUUGUAAACCGCUUUCGCCUGUGACGAAGCGUGAGUGACGGUAAUGGGUAAAGAAGCACCGGCUAACUACGUG
rnacentral:rRNA from 1 species